ensembl:lncRNA
GAAGAAGAAAUGAAUUGACACUGACUAAAGAGAAGAAGAAAUGAAUUGACACUGACUAAAGAGAAGAAGAAAUGAAUUGACACUGACUAAAGAGAAGAAGAAAUGAAUUGACACUGACUAAAGAGAAGAAGAAAUGAAUUGACACUGACGAAAGAGAAGAAGAAAUGAAUUGACACUGACGAAAGAGAAGAAAUGAAUUGACACUGACUAAAGAGAAGAAGAAAUGAAUUGACACUGACUAAAGAGAAGAAGAAAUGAAUUGACACUGACUAAAGAGAAGAAGAAAUGAAUUGGGACUGGAAUUUAUUGAAAUACUAAUUAAAGGUUAAACAUAUUAAAUGUUAAAGGUUGAAAACGUUGGGAGAUAUUAAAGGUGUUAAAAUAAUGCAGGUGAGGAGAGUUAUAAUGUAGUUUUCUUUAAGUUGUGAAUCAUAUAGACUGUGUUUCAUUCUGCUUAGAGGACAAGGCCUUAGGAGGUUGAUAACGAGACGUUAUAAUGGUCAAAUGUUAUAAUGUUUAAAAUAUUGAAUUAUUAAGAUAUAACUGGAGUAAUAAAUUAGGUUGUAUUAAGAUUAGAAUUGAGUAAAGAUGGUUUGAAAAAUGUAUGUUUUAAGAAGUUGAUGUUAAUGAAGUAUAUUAAAAGGUGCUAGCUUGAUCUGGAAAUCCCUUGAGGUGACCUCAUUGACAGACAUGUUCUAGAACAUUCUAGGUGGAACCCUUAAGGUUACCUCAUUGAUAGAAGUGUUCUAGAACAUUCUAGGUGGAAUCCUUAAGGUUACCUCAUUGAUAGAAGUGUUCUAGAACAUUCUAGGUGGAAUCCUUAAGGUUACCUCAUUGGUAGAAGUGUUCUAGUAGCUGUUAGUUUUUUAGACACCAACUGAGGGACUGAGCAUCCCGAGGGGGGAGACAAAAAUCUGUUUAUAAUUUGUAGAAGGUAAGAACAUGUUUUUCUUGUUGUUAAAUACAGCUUCUCAUGAAAUUGUUAUAGUUUUUAGGUAAAGGGUUUAGGUAAAGGGAUUAGGUAAAGGGUUUAGGUAAAGGGUUUAGGUAAAGGGAUUAGGUAAAGGGUUUAGGUAAAGGGUUUAGGUAAAGGGUUUAGG